AUUGAACGCUAGCGGGAUGCCUAACACAUGCAAGUCGAACGGAGUGGCGAACGGGUGAGUAAUGUAACGGAACGGGCCCAGGAGCGGGGGAUAACUACGAGAAAGGGUAGCUAAUACCGCACCCUAUUGGAGCGGCCGAUAUCGGGUUAGCUAGUUGGUGGGGGAACGGCUCACCAAGGCGACGGUCCGUAGCUGGUCUGAGGGGAAGACCAGCCAAACUGGGACUGAGACACGGCCCAGACGCCUACGGGAGGCAGCAGUGGGGAAUUUUGCACAAUGGGGGAAACCCUGAUCCAGCCAUCCCGCGUGUGUGAUGAAGGCCUUCGGGUUGUAAAGCACUUUUGGCGGGAAAGCGGUACCCGCAGAAUAAGCACCGGCUAACUACGUGCCAGCCGCCGCGGUAAUAC
rnacentral:rRNA from 1 species